GUGAUCUCUUCUCUCCCAACGUUCCUUUCCCAGAUGGGCUUGCUUCUUCCCAGAAUGCAAAUACUAUCUCCAUCUUCAGCUCUGAGCUCCAGAGUCAAAUAUUCAAUAACCUCAGUGAUUUAACUGAACCACUUAGAGGAUUCUUAGGUUUGGAAAAACACCAGAUUCUUUAACCUGGUAUUUCGUGCCCAGCAUCAUGACCUCUCUGGUGAUCCAGUGGUUAAGAAUAUGCCUUCCAAUGCAGGAGAUACGGUCCAGAUCUCUGAUCGGGAAACUAAGAUCCCACGUGCCUAGCAGCAACUAAGCCCAUACACCACAACUACUGAGCCCGUGUGCCGAAAGCCUGUGCUCCGCAACAAGAGAAGAGUAGCCCGCACGCGGCAACUAGAGAAGGCCUGCAAGCACAUAGCAGUGAAGACCCAGAGCAGCCAAAAAUGAC
ensembl:lncRNA